AAACUCUCACGUAACAUAAAUAACACUUUUUGCUAUUUCUAACUAAUAACGCAAUAACAUGUAGAAUAACUUUUCCACAUGUCAUUAUGUUAUGAAUCGAAAAUAAUAUUAAAAUAGUGAUAUUCGUUUCAUAUAAGUUUUUUUUACUCUAAGGGAGGGCAUAUUUCAAAUAUAAUCAAAUAUGUGAUGUACAAUAAUCUUUUAAAUGAUGAGUCAUGCCAUAUGAUUUUUUUUUUUUCCAAACAUGCCAUAUGAUUGAACUAAACAAAUAUGUUUUUUUCCCCCAAUUUCACCAGCUCAGCAUUCUCUGUCUCUCAUGUGGGCCUUUGAAGAUUGAAGUUUCAACAUCCAUCAAAAACCGCUGAACCACUUCUUGCGUUUGAACAUUUCAA
rnacentral:lncRNA from 1 species